AGAAUAGGACAAAAAUGUAUUUUUACACCGCAUCACGGGAUGUUUUUUUUUUCUUCCAGUGUACAUUGACCGAAUUCAGCUGUAGAACCAGCCUCAGCAGCGUGUUGUAACCUGUCUGUCUGGGUGUUUACUAACUGGCAUAUGAUAAGGUGCUGAAUGGUACUGCACAUAUUUGACAGUACUUGUUGUAACAUGUCACACAAACACAUGGUCCGUAAAACAAAAUACAUGAAACGAUGGCACCUAGUGGAGACAUUUAGCCAGAGCCACAGUGGGGUAAAUCCUAGAUAAUUCAACAGGGCCACAUUACCCUUCACACCUAUAGUGAUGUCAGUGAGUGAACUAUUGACCUAAUUUUACAUGUUUUUUGACUGUGAGAGAAAACCAGAGCACCUGGAGAAAACCCACACACACGGAGCACAUGCAGACUCCAUACAGCAGGGGUCCCCACCCGUGGUUAAUUGUUUUUUUAGUACAUAUUGGGCCGCAGAGAAAUCAUUAUUUAUUUACUUCAUUUAAAGCUAAUCUGGUCAUUUCCAUUUAUUUUCUUAAUUUAAAGUAAAGACUUCAAUGCUAACAAAAAUAAAGCCAAAAAUGUGUUUUAUUUUGAAAAUUUGCAGAUGCUUAACGAGGCUUCAGGGAUUGACAUGACUAUACUGACCAGUGACAGCUAACCGGGUACUGAAGCAUCCAUCUUAUGCUGAACGCAGCUUCCUGUAGGUGGCGAUUUCCACAUCCAGGGCCAUCUUGACAUUGAGCAGGUCCUGGUAUUCACGGAGGUGGCGGGCCAUCUCAUCCUUCAUGUUGGCGAUCUCUGCCUCCAGCCGGGCGAUGGUGUCCUGGAAGUUGCCAGCCUCACGCCCGUGACGGUCCUCCAUGUCCCUCAUCUGUCUCAUCAGAGACUCAUUCUGGAUUUUAAAAAGGUGCAGCCGUCAGGUCAGGCUUGGACAUGUCCAUCUGGAUCUGAACCUGGGUUUCCUGCAUCUGGGCCUGCAACUCACGGAUCUCCUAGAGGAUGAGUAUAACAAAUAGAGAAAAGUCAGGAAGCCAUAAAGGAG